CCCGCGGAAGAUGGCGGCGCCCAGCGCUCUCCUGGCCUGGUGCGUCCAACACCUGCGCGGCGACUUCGGGCUGGACGUGGGCGAGGACGUGGUGAGGUACAUACUGUCAAUCACAAACGAGGAUGAGAUCCGGGAGUACGUUGUUGACCUUGUUCAGGGCACCGAGGGGAAGAAGAGCUGGUUUGUGGAGGAGCUGCUGACCAGGUGGAGGAAAUCUGCCCAGCUGCCCCCUGAGCCUUUCCCGGCGUAUCGCAAAAAGGACGAGGCUCCGGAAGUGCCGCGGGCUGGGGACCAAGGGAAGAAAGGGAAACGCAAAGGGAGGAACAAGCAGGAGACUCUGGCAUAUGCUGAGCCCAGCGCUCACAGGGAGGAGGUGAAAACCCCACUGGACCUGGCCAAGGCCCAGGAGAGCAGCAGUGGAGUCAGCAGCAGUAGCAUUUCCUCCAAGAAGAAGCCCAAGUACGUGAGCCUGUACACAAGGGAGGGGCAGGACAGGCUGGCCGUGCUCAUCCCGGGCCGCCACGCCUGCGAGUGCCUGGGCCAGAAGCACAAGCUCAUCAACAACUGCCUGGAGUGCGGACGCAUUGUCUGUGAGCAGGAGGGCUCUGGGCCCUGCCUGUUCUGUGGGGCCCUGGUGUGCACUAAAGAAGAGCAGGACAUUCUUCAACGGGACUCCAACAAGAGCCAGAAGCUGCUGAAGAAGCUGAUGGCAGGUGCCGAAAGUUCAGGGAAUUUGGAUGCCAUAAGCAAAAGCUUGCUGCCUCACCAGAAUAUGAGACUCAAAUCAGGCCUGGAGAUGGCUGUGAAGCACAAAGACAAACUGUUGGAAUUUGAUAGGACAAGCGUGCGUCGGACCCAGGUCAUUGAUGACGAGUCGGAUUACUUUGCCACGGACUCCAACCAGUGGCUCUCCAAGCAGGAGAGGGAAGCGCUCCAGAAGAGGGAGCAGGAGCUGCGGGAGCUGCGCCAUGCCUCUCGGCUUGCCAAGAAAAUCACCAUCGACUUCGCUGGCAGGCAGAUCUUGGAGGAAGACAACAGCAUGGCUGAGUAUCACAGCAAACUGGAUGAGACCAUUGAGGCCAUGUGCUGUGGUACAUUGAGCAAGCCAGCCGGGAGUCCUGGGGCAGAGAUGACACCAAACUCUGGGGUUUUGGUGAAUCCCCGUCUCCUCCAGCCUGCUCCUUUGUGGGUGGACCAGACGGGUUUGCUCCCACAAAGGAAAACUCUUCGUUCCAUGGAGGCUGGGAGCGAGUGUGGCUCGGAGCGGAACAGGCUGCGGAUUCAGGACCGAGAGCUGCAGGAGAUCUCGGAUGAUGGUUGGUGCCUCAGCCUGCACCAGCCUUGGGCUUCCUUGCUCGUGAGAGGAAUCAAAAGGGUGGAGGGCAGGACCUGGUACACAUCUCAUCGAGGGAGGUUAUGGAUUGCAGCUACCGCUAAAAGACCUUCCCCUCAGGAAAUCUCUGAACUGGAGGCCACCUACAGAAUGCUGCUUCAGAAAGAUGUGGAAUUUCCAAGUGAUUAUCCCUCAGGAUGCCUCCUGGGCUGUGUGGACAUGACUGAUUGUUUAUCACAAGAGCAAUUUCAGGAGCAGUAUCCAGACCUGAGCCAGGAGUCUGGGUCUCCAUUUGUCUUUAUCUGCACUAAUCCCCAGGAGAUGGUUCUGAAGUUCCCCAUCAAAGGAAAACACAAAAUCUGGAAGCUGGAUGCAAAGAUCCAUCGCGGAGCAAAGAAGGGGUUAAUGAAGCAGAAAGCCGUGGGGUGUGCACCGGGGAGCAGCACUGGUUCCCAUGAAGCACCCAACUGCCUCUGAAGGCUGCCAGGAUGCUCUUCAGCUCUGGAAAGCAGGUGCAAGAUGGAUCCCUGAUCCCAGAUUGUUUUUAGCAGCGAUGCCGUCACCUGGGCAGACCCCGACCACUGGAAGCCCCCCAAGGACGUAGGUGAC